AGCCUGGACCCCGACCCCGGCCACGGUCCCUCGCGCUAGGAACAGCCCCGUCCCCAUCCCCUUUCCCGACCUCCGCCCGCGCGCUCGGGACCGCCCCUUCCCCUUCCCCGACCUCGGCCCGCGCGCAAGUAACGGCCUGGACGGCCUUGGAGAGCGUCGCAGUGCGGUCACCCGCGUCGGCGCCCGGCCGGGGAUGGGGAGAGGGAACUACCAGGACGAAGGUCACGGGGGCCCGAGGGUUCCCCGCGCCGGCGACCGGAGGCGGGGGUCGUGCUCCCGGCCGAACACUCCCCGGGCCGGCGACAACCGCGGCCACCGCUUACCAUGGUGCCGGCCAGGCCUGGCGCGGCCAGAGCCCCACACAGCAGCGCCGGCUUCAGCAAGCGGCACAGGCGACCGAGGCUCAUCGCGGCGGGACUGGGAGCCAGCGGCUCCUCCCCUCGCCCAGCCGACCAAUGGCCGCGCGCCGGCACCACGCGCUUCCCCGCCCGCGGCCACGCCCUCCAGAGCUCUCAUUGGCCACGCUCCAGGAGAGAUGCAGCCUCACGGCCUCCACCCUGGCUGUGCCGCCCGGUCCCCACAGGCCACGCUGCAGGCGAGGUGCAGCCUCACGCCUCCACCCUGGCAGUGCCAUCCACCUGAGACUCCUGUCUCCAGGCAUCCCCACGCCUCUUCUGUCUCCUCCUCCGGGUUUUGUUUUCUGUUUGUUUCAGGACGGGCGUGUUGCUCUGUCGCCCAAGCUGGAGUGCGGUGGCACAAUCACAGCUCACUGCAGCCUCGACCUCCUUGGGAUGGUCGGUGCCACAGAGAAAAAUCAGCACUGAGACAAAGGCUCUUUGAGCAACGCAGUUUUGACUUCGUGGACUGCAGGAGGGCUCCUCUAGAGAGAUGCCCAGCUCUACCCGAGCCUCCCAGUUAUCCGUCUAAACGAGGGACACUUCACUGCCAUCGCACAGGCCUCAGUUUCCCCACCCACGCUCCGGCCCCGCUCCGUGGGAUUCUAAACCGCUGCCCCAACGUGGGAGUUGAACGGAAACUACAACUCCCGAGAGGCCGAGCGGCCAAAGACACGGGAGAACUGCGGAGCGAGAGUCUCGUGCAGCCAACUGUCGCGCUCGCGCAGUCCGCGCGAGACGUCACUAGCGCAUGCGUAGGGGGUGCGAGUGGCGACCGCCAUGGACGACGAGGAGGAGACGUACCGGCUCUGGAAAAUCCGCAAGACCAUCAUGCAGCUGUGCCAUGACCGUGGCUACUUAGUGACCCAGGACGAGCUUGACCAGACACUGGAGGAGUUCAAAGCCCAGUUUGGGGACAAGCCGAGCGAGGGGCGGCCGCGGCGCACAGACCUCACCGUGCUGGUGGCACACAACGAUGACCCCACCGACCAGAUGUUUGUGUUCUUUCCAGGUGAGCAGCACCAGCUGAGGAGCCAGCUGCCAGCAUCCGCCUCCUGCCCAGCUCCUGUCCCUCUGCCCAGUCUGGGGGAAAGGCUCCCCUCCCCUUCCUUGUUUGGGGUGAUGCUGUUGACGUCUGAUCUCUCUCAUGCAGCAUCUUUCUAGUUUCCCUCUUAUCAGUCCCCUUCUCUCUUCCCUGACCAUUUCCUCCAACCAGGAUUGUCACGUGGGCCUCUCCACUUACCCCAGCCCCCCAUGACCUUGUGUCCCUCAGCUCCCCCAUCCUGGCCACUGGGUGCCCUUCC
rnacentral:lncRNA from 13 species